rnacentral:piRNA from 2 species
UGAUGUCGACUCGGUUCAAGGAAAGC